GGGGAUUUAGCUCAGUGGCAUAAGCACCUGCCUUGUGAGCAGGUGGUCGUGAGUUCGAUCCCCA
rnacentral:tRNA from 1 species